UGCUUAUGAUGACCCUAUUUGCUACUCUUGAUUUCAGAGUGAUGAGACUUGCAACCACCAAAAUUGCAUAUCUGAAGCA